ACGGGUGAGUAACGCGUGGGAAUCUACCCAUCUCUACGGAACAACUCCGGGAAACUGGAGCUAAUACCGUAUACUUCCUUCCGGAGAAAGAUUUAUCGGAGAUGGAUGACCCCGCAUUGGAUUAUCUAGUUGGUGGGGUAAUGGCCUACCGAGGCGACUAUCCAUAGCUGGUCUGAGAGGAUGAUCAGCCACGCUGGGACUGAGACACGGCCCAGACUCCUACGGGAGGCAGCAGUGGGGAAUAUUGGACAAUGGGCGCAAGCCUGAUCCAACCAUGCCGCGUGAGUGAUGAAGGCCCUAGGGUUGUAAAGCUCUUUCAACGGUGAAUAUUAUGACAGUAACCGUAGAAGAAGCCCCGGCUAACUUCGUGCCAGCAGCCGCGGUAAUACCAAGGGGGCUAGCGUUGUUCGGAAUUACUGGGCGUAAAGCGCACGUAGGCGGAUACUUAAGUCAGGGGUGAAAUCCCGGGGCUCAACCCCGGAACUGCCUUUGAUACUGGGUAUCUCGAGUCCGGAAGA
rnacentral:rRNA from 1 species